rnacentral:tRNA from 1 species
GGGAGUGGACGGGUUCUGGUGGACCUCCAGGACUUCAAAUCCUGAUGUCGGGCGCUAAUCCCGUCCGAGGUGGGUUCGAUUCCCACACAUUCCCGCCA